rnacentral:rRNA from 1 species
CAGCAGCCGCGGUAAUACGGAGGAUCCAAGCGUUAUCCGGAAUCAUUGGGUUUAAAGGGUCCGUAGGCGGUCUUGUAAGUCAGUGGUGAAAGCCCAUCGCUCAACGGUGGAACGGCCAUUGAUACUGCAGGACUUGAAUUAUUGGGAAGUAACUAGAAUAUGUAGUGUAGCGGUGAAAUGCUUAGAGAUUACAUGGAAUACCAAUUGCGAAGGCAGGUUACUACCAAUUGAUUGACGCUGAUGGACGAAAGCGUGGGUAGCGAACAGGAUUAGAUACCCGCGUAGUCCCUGUCUCUUAUAA